CACCUUGGGAGCCCUGGGCUACUCUCUUACAGCCCCUGUUGCCCUGUGAUCUGUAGGUUAUUGGGGACGCAUAGUUAGGGCAUCAGGACAUCCUGGAAGCUGGGAAAUGAUAUGUAUUCAUUUCCUACCACCGUAGUGGAAGAAGACUAUCCCUAUCUUUACACUGAUAGCAUUUCCAACAGUAAGCUGUGAGAUUCUGCUUGAAAUCACCUCUCAAACAAAUAAAAAACAGACCUGGGAAACUGCUACACUCAUUCUGCUGAAGAAAUAGGCAUCAUACUGGGGAAACAGGGAUUCAAAAGACCCAGGCUGUUCCCUACAUAUGUUUCCUCCUCGACAUCAGUUCAUCAGUCAAUCAAGUCAUGUGAGAGUGGAGGCCUGUAUUCCCUAUUAUUUUGGGCACUCUCCUCCAAGGAGGAAAGGCCAGGAGGUCCUUUAGAGGAUGCACUCUGAGAGCCGGCUCCUAAGGUUGAGAGUUCUAACCAGCAGGUGUAGACUUUUCAGGAGUGAGGAAUGAGGCAGGCAUUCCAAACCGGACUUCAUACCUUUUGUUUCAUCUCAAGACAAUUCUGAGGGGCUGUUUUGGAGCGUGUCUGGAAGGUGAACGUUGAAGAAGAGUGUGGGCUUUGAUGUGACUCAGAUGAGAUCUUUCAUGGGGAGGCAGGAAUUCAAUGCCCAGAAUCUGGGCUGGUGUCUUUGAGGUCAGUAGGUUGCCUCUUUUAUCCAAGUCCAUUGUUACUAGGUUGGAGGCUGGAGAUUCUAAAUGGCUUCCAGACUGCCUCUCUGAUUCUCUUUGGGAGAUGGGGUCUGAAAAGACAAUGUCAGUAUUUUUGGGAAAUUCUAGAAAGUCUGCUUGGAAACGUGGGAAGAGCUCUUGCCUAGUGCCUAAAUGCUCCAUUUGCAGCUCUAGCCACGUAGAUGCUUGGUAGGUAUAGAGCUGGGUUUGCAUUUAUAUCAGCAAAACCUAUGUCAGAGUUGAAGAA
rnacentral:lncRNA from 1 species